rnacentral:rRNA from 1 species
AGUGAACGCUGGCGGUAGGCCUAACACAUGCAAGUCGAACGGCAGCACAGUAAGAGCUUGCUCUUACGGGUGGCGAGUGGCGGACGGGUGAGGAAUACAUCGUAAUCUACUUUUUCGUGGGGGAUAACGUAGGGAAACUUACGCUAAUACCGCAUACGACCUACGGGUGAAAGCAGGGGAUCUUCGGACCUUGCGCGAUUGAAUGAGCCGAUGUGGGAUUAGCUAGUUGGCGGGGUAAAGGCCCACCAAGGCGACGAUCCGUAGCUGGUCUGAGAGGAUGAUCAGCCACACUGGAACUGAGACACGGUCCAGACUCCUACGGGAGGCAGCAGUGGGGAAUAUUGGACAAUGGGCGCAAGCCUGAUCCAGCCAUACCGCGUGGGUGGAGAAGGCCUUCGGGUUGUAAAGCCCUUUUGUUGGGAAAGAAAAGCAGCAGGUUAAUACCCCGCUGUUCUGACGGUACCCAAAGAAUAAGCACCGGCUAACUUCGUG